GAUGAACGCUGGCGGCGUGCUUAACACAUGCAAGUCGAACGAAGCACUUUAUUUGAUUUCCUUCGGGACUGAUUAUUUUGUGACUGAGUGGCGGACGGGUGAGUAACGCGUGGGUAACCUGCCUUGUACAGGGGGAUAACAGUUGGAAACGGCUGCUAAUACCGCAUAAGCGCACAGCAUCGCAUGAUGCAGUGUGAAAAACUCCGGUGGUAUAAGAUGGACCCGCGUUGGAUUAGCUAGUUGGUGAGGUAACGGCCCACCAAGGCGACGAUCCAUAGCCGACCUGAGAGGGUGACCGGCCACAUUGGGACUGAGACGCGGCCCAAACUACUACGGGAGGCAGCAGUGGGGAAUAUUGCACAAUGGGCGAAAGCCUGAUGCAGCGACGCCGCGUGAGCGAAGAAGUAUUUAGGUAUGUAAAGCUCUAUAAGCAGGGAAGAUAAUGACGGUACCUGACGAAGAAGCACCGGCUAAAUACGUG
rnacentral:rRNA from 1 species